UUUUUAUAUAACAGGAAGAAAUCAAAGUCCUAAAUAAAUUGAAAUUGGAUUUAUUCCUAAAAAUGUAAAACUCUAAAAGUUUAAUUAAUGUCUUUAAAAUGAAGUAUAACAGGCAAAUACAAGGUACCUAACACUAAAAACACUGUCCUUUAUUUUUAUUACAGAAAUUUAUUCUAUCUUUGUAAGGAAUGCAAAUGAUUCAGAGUAUCAUACAAAAAGCCCUUUUACCCAGCCCCACCAUCUCACUCUACAGAAAAAAUUACCGAAGGUAGAAUUGACUAUGCAUCUUCCUUAACUAUUCUCCACGCACAUACAUGUAGCCCUGUAUACAGUGUGUUGAACUGGGUUCCCUUGUCGUUCCCAGUCUAGGGAUGUAGCUCAGUGGUAAAAUGCUCACCGACAUGCAUGAGACAGCAAUCCCCAGCACCAGAAGAAAAAAAAAUUGAUAUUCAAAAAACACUAUCAAUACUCUUUGCUAAUGAGAUAAUAGUACAUAUCCUAAGCAUGAAUGUACUUAAGUAUUUAACAGUACAUAACAUGAAUGUACUAUUAUUUUUGAGAUGGAUUCUCUUAGUAAUGUGUACUGUUUCUGUUUUUUGGUACUGGGAGUCGAACUUUUCACACUUUCCAGGCAGCGCUAUGCCACUGAGCUUUAUCCCUGGCCCUGUUUGUUAUUUUUGAGCAGGUUUUUUCCGUGUUACUGGUUGGCCUCAAGACUCAGGACCCAAGUGAUCCUGCUGCCUCCGCUGCCUCAGUAGCUGAAAACUACAGGGUUUUACUCUGAAGUUCAGGCUGGCCUUGAACUCACAUUGUAGCACAGGCUGGCCUCGAAUUCACAGUGCUCCUCCAGCCUCAGACCAGCUUUGCAUCACAGUGAUCAGCUAUUUCUAAGAGACAAGAAGCGACUGGAACCUGGGCAAUUAAACUGAAGUAUACUGGCUGGGCAAGUUGUGGAGAGCAUUUUCUGCUACAGUACCACCUUUUGUAGUACACACUUAGCUAAUCAAGAGGCUGAGGAAGGAGAACUCCAAGUGUGAGCCCAGUCGCUCAUUGAAACUAGAUUAUUGGCAGAUGUUACGAUCAUCAGAGCUGUUGCUGUUGCGUGGCCAGAAUCUCACCCACCUGCAUGACUGUCAAGACCUCAAGCAAUAAACCUUACAGCAUAUCACCACUGUCUUGGAAGCCCUGCAGCAGACCAGUCAUGGAGCUUGCCAUCUAAUUAACAGCCAGGGUUUGAUUCAAUCACUGACAGUUUUUUCCUUACAGUGCUUGUUAUCCUAACAGCUACAACAUGUGUUCCUUUGGUUCAGGGACAGGAGUACUGGGCUCACAUACCUAAUCCACCUCUGAUCAGACCCUUUACUUGGAUGGACAGGCCACCAGAAAUUUUCCAUUCUGUAGAAAGCAAGAAUCCUACAUUUACUGUUAUGCCAGGCCCCAUUUUUUCAAGCAUCGACAAGAAGAGCUAAAGUAAAUAUUACCUCUCAUUUUGUAUAUUCUCCCUUAUGUGUAAUUCAACUACAGCAAGACUCUAACCCCUGUACGUCUGCUGUAAAUCAGGUUUGGAAGAUACAGCUGUCAAAGGAACCCUUUGCCUUACUGACCUUGACUUCUAUUCCUUCAGAUGGUAACUUUGUUGGAGAAUUCAAACCUAACAUUCCUAUCUGUAUUCCAGUAGCUCGCGCUCCUCGUUUCAAGGAAUGUGAUUUGGGCCCUUGGCAAUAUUGCAGAGAUCCAUACCAUGGGCAGAUUAUAUGCAAAUUCAAUUAUUCCUUUAUAGACUGGUGUCCCAGAGGUUUACUUACGAGAAAAAGUCAAGAUUGGCAUGAGAUUUCCUUUUCAGGCUCUCCUGACAAUACAAUGACCUCAGAAGCCUUAUCUAAUAUUACGUGGUCAGGUAAAGGCCUCAAUUCUCCUAUUCCUAGACUUAUUAUCAAUGACAGGGCUGGCCCCAUGCAGCACACUUUAUGGAAGCUAGCCUUGCCUUUUCAUGCAGGACAGCUACAGACUGGACAUCUGCAGUCACUUGAUGGAGGAAAAGUAAAAGUAGUGUUACAGAGUGAUAGGCAUAUAAGAAUAAAUGUAUGUGUUUAUGAUCCUUACGUACUGUUGAUAGGAAAGAUAGAAUGGCAACAAAAUAUGUUCUCAUGUACUAAUUGUUGUCUAACCCAUUGUAUCAUGCCUGAGUUUCUUUCUAAGGACUCCAUGAUAAUAGUCAUGGGCAGGAUGCCUGGAGUUUGGCUUCCAGUCAAUGUAAUGGAGCCUUGGUAUCACUCACCUACUUCCCUGUUGGUGGAGACCUUGAUCAAAAGAUUUUUUUUUUGUCUUUUUCCUUUUUACUGGUACCAGGGAUCGAACACUGCCUGCUUGCAAGGCAGGCGCUUAUGCCGCUGAGCUAAAUCCCCAGCCCCUUGAUCAAAAGAUUUAACAAUCGAACCAAGAAGAUGCUUGGGUUGAUUACUGCAGGGAUUACUUCCCUAGUUCUUUUGAUAGCCAGUGCAGCUAUUGGCUCCACAGCAUUAGCACAUUCAAUACAAACUGCUCACUUUGUAAAUAAUUGGACAAGAACUGCUUAUGAAAGCUGGAAAAUUCAGAGAGAGGUUGAUAUAAAGUUACAAACCCAAGUGAGCAUUCUAGAGACUUCAGUCUUAUGGAUGGGAUCAAAUUAAAAGCUUACAGUUACAACAAGGCUUAAAGUGUCACUAUUGAAAGGAUUUUGCCCCAGAUGGGACACUAGCGGGUGAGAGCCUGGGAGGUGGAACCAAGGGGCUCUAUCUUGAGAUCACUGUUCCCGCCCCUAGGCAAUUUACCUGUGGCACCAAAUGAAUUCCAAUGGGCUACCAGUGCAUCAGUAAUGCCCCUUAGGCACCACCCCAAACCUAAGCUACAUGUAUGCACCCACACCACGUGUCUGGUGGAGACAAUGCCAGGACCCGGAGGUCAUGGAGUCUUUCCCCACAUUCUUAAUAUAAAGGCCAUUUUUAUUUCAUGCUUCUUAAUCUUUUUAGCCAUGCUGAAAAUUCUAUCAGAUGGUUCCCUUCUGUGCCGAAAAUUCUAUCAACUAUAACCUUUAAAUUUCUGGUCCUUCACUGGCAGCAGCCUGAAGGUCGAGAGAGAGGAGCAAAGCCACCAAGGAAAGGACCAGGAACAAAAUAAACCCUUCAAAGUCAUUUUCCUAGUGAUCUCCAUCCCAUUAGUCCCUAGUACCUAUUAACUCUGAGGAGCUAUGACCUCGUCGGUAGAUUAAUCUAUGAAUUUAUAGCCUCAUGAUCCAAUCACUUCACAAAAUCCUCAUCUCUUAACACUGCUGCAUUGGGGACUGAGCCCCGAAACAAUGAGCCUUCUGGAAUGGGGGCAUUUCAGAUCCAAACCAUAAUAUUCUGUGUCUAGCCUCCAAAAGCUCAUCUCCUCACAAUGCAAAAUACAUUAGUCUAUCCCUGAGAGUCCCCCGAGGCUCCACAGUCCCAGCACUAGUCAAAAGCUCAAGUCCUAGGACUCCUUUGAGAUCAAAGCAAGCUUCACUGUGAGUCCUUGUAAAAAUUAAAAAUUAGUUAUAUACUCUCAAGAUACCAUAGCACAGGGUAAACACAUCCAUUCUAAAAAUGAACAAUGGAGGCACCAGAAAGAGAGCUGCGCCAAAGCAAGAUCAAAACCCUUCAUGAAGGCAAAUAUUAAACUGUCCAUUUCCAACAUCUGGGUCCCAGGGUGGCAUGGCCCGAGCUCAGAGGGCUUGAGAAACCCUGCCCCUAUGGUCAUGACAGUUAACAACCUUCAUGGCUUCCGUCUUAGGCUGAUUCUGCUCACUGCCUGUGUCUCAACAGACAUUCCAUGUACCUGGCAUCUCUAACUUCCUGGGAUUUCCAUUGUAGUUUCGGCUUUACUCUCCUAGCUUCAUACAUCACCCUCUUAGGGGCUACGAUAGGAACUCUAACUCUGCUAACAUUGCAUGGCCUCCCAGGUUUGCCUUUGAAAUCUCAAUGGAAGCCCUCCGGGCCACAUAACUCUUACAUUCUGUCUGCCCGCAAAACCAGGAUCACAUGGGCAACAUUAUAGUCUGUUGCCAGCUGGAGCAGUAGCUAGGCCCUCUUCAAGCAUGAUUGUGUGGUUUGUUUUGCCUGUUUUUGUGCUAGGGACUAAACCCAGGCCUUAUCCAUGCUAAACAGCCGCAGUGCCACUGUGCUACACCCCUAGCCUUAGUUCAGUGUAGUUUUAACCUUGAAAACUUUUAUUGUUCACUUCAUUAUCAAUUUCUUCAACAAAAAUGUAUACAUAAAUUUAAAAUGUUCCCACAAUUAUUUUGUAUUAAGUAUUAAUAGUAGUACACAGCCUAUCAAAAUGAUAUACACACAUGAUUUAUAGGCUUUGAACUAUUAGGGACUAAGAAUAUUUUUGAGACAUUAAAUGUAAAUUUUCACUGAAAAUGCAUCUUAUAAGGAAAAUGAUAGGGCUUUUCUGCACACACACAACAAAAAUAUCCAGUUCCUGUCAUUUGCUUCCUUAUUACCUAUGCUGACAUAGCAAGAUGUACAUUUGAUGGUAAUAUUGGAGUUGUCACUGUAGGGGCAAUGAGCCAUAGUUAAUCCUGGAAAUGACUAGGAAUAUUGCCUACUUUUAUAAAGCUAGCAGAAGGUCAUUGUGAAUAGGAUGUUUUAUCCUUACAGGUGAUCUUAGGCAAGUCAAUCUGAAGAAAGACUAUAGACAGAGUACAGACUGAUAUUAUCCAUGCUCAUGUAUCCUGAGAAAUCUUCCUGUACUCCCAGGAAGCCUUUGCUGCAUAAAAAUAGCAACACAUCUUCAUGCAUGCUCUUCCCAAUCUACUGUGUCUCAGUCUCUCUGUUAAAAUUUAAAAAAAACAAAACCCUACCUGAUCCUUCUGCUUCUAUUCUCACAGUUAAACUACAUUUUCAUCCUUUCCUCAGCCUGCCACACUCCCCCUGAAACUAAUCACCUGACGAUCAACCUACUACUACAAUUCCUUCUAUUGAUUAUAUCUGAGCUAUCAAAACCCUACUCUGUUGAUUCUCCUUAGGUUGCUCUGUGAUUCUCUUCUGUUUAUCAACUACUGCUCCAGUUAGAUCCAGAAGGUCCCCAGACGGCCCAUGUGUUAAAGGCUUGAUCCCUAGGGCUGUGGACGUAACUCGGUGACAGAGCAUUUGCUUCUCACAACUGAGACCCUCAGUUCGAUCUCUAGUCCUAAAAAAAAGGUGGGGGGGUUUGGGCCCCACCUUACCACUAUUAGGAGGCAGUGGAACCCUUAGGAAGUGGUGGGGGGUCUUAUGUCAUUGGGGGCGUGGAACUACAGCUCUCUCCCCUUCUGUUCCCCCUCCCUUCUCCAGCCACCAUGAGUAGCUUUGCUCCUCCACGUGCCCUCCAUCAUGAUGUAUUGCUUCACUCGAGGCCGAAAAGCUGCUGAAACCUCUGAAACUGUGAACCCAAAUAAAUCCUUCCUCCUUUAAAUAGAUUUUCUUAGGUGUUUUGAAACAACCAUGGAAAGCUAACACUUUCUUUCACUUAUUCUCUCUAGCUAUACCUGCCUCAUUUCACUUUUUAAUUUCUCCAGCUCACUGUUUUGUUGUCCACAUGGCUGCCCCUCAAUUGUGGCAAAACUCCAAAACACUCUUAAUAAAGUCCAACGCAUUCGUUCCUUUUGUUUUCUCCUUAGAGAUAAUCCUGGAACCUUCUCUCCACUUGCUUCAACCUACGCUCUCUGAAGCUGCUGCGCAAUUGUAAUUCUAAGAUGACCUUUUACUGUCACUGUGGCAACUCCCUGUUAACCUUUUACCUCUAUUGUCUUGGUUUAUACCCCCCACACACAUACACCUGUGUGUGUGUGUGUGUGUGUGUGUGUGUGUGUGUAAGGAUCAAAUCUAGUCUACUGUGUGCUAAGCAGGCACCAAAGCACUCUACUAUUGAGCUACACCCCCAACCCUGCUAAACUUCCUUUUUGUUUUGUUUUGUUUUUGGUACCAGGGAUCAAACUCACAACCCCAUGCUUGCAAGGCAGGUGCUUAUGCCACUGAGCUAAAUCCCUGACUCAGUAAACUUCCUUUGUAAUGAGCUAUUCAUGGUCUAGGCUUCAUGAACUAUGCACUCUAACACAAUUACUCAACUCUGCCCUGAGAGCAUGAUGACAGUCAUAGUUCAUAGGCAAAGCUGUGUUUCAAAAGUUUAAUUUACAAAGAGUUCUAAUGUUCUAUUACACAUAGGGUGACUUUAAAUAAUUAUGAUGGGUAUUUGAAUAAAGCUAGUUGAAAGGGUUUUGAGCAGAGGGGCACAUUUGUAAUCCUAGCACAAAGUGGUCAGAGGCCAUGAAUUCAAGGCCACCCUGGGCUACAUGCUGAGUUCGAGGUUAGCCUGAACUACAUAGCAAGACCCUGUCUCAAAACAGAAAAGAAAGAAAGCAAAGAAAUCAAGCAAGCAAAAAAAGAAAAGAAUGGGACUGGGGAUUUAGCUCAGUGGCAUAAGCGCCUGCCUUGCAAGUACAGGGUCAUGAGUUCGAUCCCUGGUACCAAUAAAGAAAAGAAAAGAAGCAAAGAAAGAGAAGAUUUUGAACAUUUCACACAAAAAAUGAUAAAUGUUUGAGGAGAUAGAUGUGUUUAUCCUAUAAUGACGAGACCCAUGCCCCGUCCCCUCCCACCCUCCCACCUGCAGUGUCUUGGUUGCCAUGCUUUACACAGCAUACACAAGUAUCAAAACAUCGCAUGGUAUCUCACAAAUACACACAAACUUUACUUUCUAGGGAAGGGUGGUAUUUUAAUGAUUUGUAAAUAUCACUAGUUUGGUAUAUUAUAGCUAAUCCACAUAUUUUCACUUCUCAUUGUAAGUCACCCUGCUGAUGGCUGUCUUUUUUGUACAAAUUUUAUGUGUCAAUUAUAAAGUAAAAAUAAAUACUUUUAAAAAUAUCUAAAUUAAGAUAACAAACUUGAUUUGGACUAAGGUCAACAGUGUAGUGUUCUCUGGUCUAGGAACUGCCUGAGAAAGGGGCCCUGGGAAGUAAAUGUUGGGGACCUUAUGUAUCUGAAGAUGUCUCUAAUCUACACUAAAAUACUCAAGGUAGUGGGAGAGAAUUCUUAGUUGGAAACAACUUCCCCUUCUCUGAUUUUGAAGGCACUAUUCAAUUUUUUCUACCUGCCAACUACAGACAAGUCUACUGGCAUUGUCAUGUGAUUUAUAUAUAUAUAUAUAUAUAUACAGUUUACAUUUUCUCUCUUUCUCCUUACAAGGUUUAAUAUUCCCUUCAUCCUAUUGUGCUUACUUUCAUUUAUUUUGCUGGGCACUCAAUAGUCCUAUCAAUUUCUGGGAAAUAUUUUCAAAUUUUUUAAAAUAAUUUUUUACUCUUCUUGAAACUGCUGUUAAUCACAUGAUAACACUUCCUUGAUUAAUCAUUUAACUUUUAUCUUUUGCCUUUAAUUUCUCGUGUAUUUGUCUUCUUUGUUUUUUAACUUUAUUAGUACAUGUACAUUCAUCAUGUACAUAACGUAUCUUCUUUUUAUUUCUCUUUCUCUCUCCUCUCUCUCUCUUCUAGUCUACUUUCUAAAAGGUUUAUCAACUUUUAUUGUCUUUCAACCCUAUCAGUGUUUUUAAAUUCCUGAAAUUUGCAUUUUAAUUUCUCUGAUUGUUCUCUUUUCAAAAGUGGCCUGUAAUUUCUUCAUGGAUAAAAUGCCUUUUAUCAUUGUCUUAAUUUUAGUUAUAAUUUUAUUACUGUUCUGAGGAUUUCUUUUUUAUUGGUACCAGGGAUCGAACUCACGACCGCCUGCUUGCAAGGCAGGUGUUUAUGCCGCUGAGCUAAAUCCCCAGCCCCCUGUUCUGAGGAUAUUAAUAGAAUUUUGGAAAUGUUCUUCUGGAAAACUCCUGCUUUGUCCAAGUUGUCUUUGUUUUUGUUGUUGUUGUUUGUUUAGAUCUCUGUCAUCAUAUUAGACACUUCCCUCAAAUGCUGGGUGACCCUUAGCUGUUCAUAUUGAAGAGUGAAGAGUUCAUAUUGAAGAGUCACUAGAAAACAGAUUGUAAUCUCUGCAUAUAGGGAUCCAGAGCUUUUUAACUGAGUCUUAGAAUGCUGGCUCUUAUUUAUUUCAUUGGAGCCAUACAAUAUUAGUACCGCUAGGCAUUUUUUCCUAGAUCAAUCCAUUUUCCCAGAGAGAAACUUUUGCUUGGGGAUUAGUAUAAAUGUGGCAGUCAGAACUCUGGAGUUGGGAGAUGGGAAGGGGCAGGGGUGUGGGUGUCUCAUCAUUAAUUGCUAAUUCUCCUAUUUCUGAUAAAUCGCAUUAUUCUUGACUUUAGCUAUGCUAUGAUAUACAGAGAUUUUUGCCAUUUGGGGGAAAAGAUUUAUAAUCUAAUUAGGAGUUAUUUCUAAUUCUCCUGUGUUAGCCAUGCCCUCAGAGAGAAAUUAUGUUAAAUGGAUUAUAACACAUUGAAUUUCAUUAAAAGAAUUAAUGAGUUCAAAAUGAUAUGAGAAAUGAAAAGAGGAUUGAGUCUGGCAAAGCUUUUUUUUUUUUAACAGAAGGUUGCCAGAUAAUACACAUAAAA